rnacentral:rRNA from 1 species
GACGAACGCUGGCGGCGUGCUUAACACAUGCAAGUCGAACGGAAAGGCCUCUUUCGGGGGGUACUCGAGUGGCGAACGGGUGAGUAACACGUGAGUAACCUGCCCUUGACUUUGGGAUAACUUCAGGAAACUGGGGCUAAUACCGGAUAGGAGCUCCUGCUGCAUGGUGGGGGUUGGAAAGUUUCGGCGGUUGGGGAUGGACUCGCGGCUUAUCAGCUUGUUGGUGGGGUAGUGGCUUACCAAGGCUUUGACGGGUAGCCGGCCUGAGAGGGUGACCGGCCACAUUGGGACUGGGAUACGGCCCAGACGCCUACGGGAGGCAGCAGUGGGGAAGAUUGCACAAUGGGUGGAAGCCUGAUGCAGCAACGCCGGGUGCGGGAGGACGGCCUUCGGGUUGUAAACCGCUUUCGCUCAUGACGAAGCUUUGUGUGACGGUAGUGGGUAAAGAAGCACCGGCUAACUACGUG